rnacentral:rRNA from 1 species
CACGGAGUUAGCCGGGGCUUCCUUUAGCGGUACCGUCACGGUGACAGGGUAUUCACCCGCCACCCAUUCUUCCCGCUCGACAGGAGUUUACGACCCGAAGAUCUUCGUCCUCCACGCGGCGUUGCGUCGUCAGGCUUGCGCCCAUUGCGAACAAUUCCCCACUGCUGCCUCCCGUAGGAGUCUGGGCCGUGUCUCAGUCCCAGUGUGUCCGUCCGCCCUCUCAGGCCGGAUACUGAUCGUCGCCUUGGUGAGCCAUUACCCCACCAACUAGCUAAUCAGCCGCGGGCCCCUCAUCGAGCGCCAGGUCUUGCGAUCCCCAGCUUUGAUUUCCACGUCUCCAAACGCAGAAUGUCAUGCGGUAUUAGCGUUCCUUUCGGAACGUUAUCCCCCACUCGACGGCAGGUCACCCACGUGUUACUCACCCGUUUGCCACUCUACUCAGGGCUUGCGCCCCUUUCGCGUUCGACUUGCAUGUGUUAGGCACGCCGCCAGCGUUGAUUCUGAGCCAGGAUA